CCUACGGGAGGCAGCAGUGGGGAAUAUUGCACAAUGGGGGAAACCCUGAUGCAGCGACGCCGCGUGAAGGAAGAAGUAUUUCGGUAUGUAAACUUCUAUCAGCAGGGAAGAAAAUGACGGUACCUGACUAAGAAGCUCCGGAUAACUACGUGCCAGCAGCCGCGGUACUACGUAGGGGGCAAGCGUUAUCCGGAUUUACUGGGUGUAAAGGGAGCGUAGGCGGCGAUGCAAGUCAGAAGUGAAAGCCCGAGGCUCAACUCCGGGACUGCUUUUGAAACUGUGUUGCUAGAUUGCAGGAGAGGUAAGUGGAAUUCCUAGUGUAGCGGUGAAAUGCGUAGAUAUUAGGAGGAACACCAGUGGCGAAGGCGGCUUACUGGACUGUAAAUGACGCUGAGGCUCGAAAGCGUGGGGAGCAAACAGGAUUAGAUACCCGAGUAGUC
rnacentral:rRNA from 1 species